CAAAGCAGGACAGGACAGGACAGGACAGGACAGGACCUUAUCUCUGAGUACUAUGGAACUGCAGAGUGCAGCGUGCAUGAGGACCUGAAAAUGCGGUUUGAGGAUCUAGCCUAUGCUCGCCAUGAACCAAAUGCGUGGGCAUCAUCAUCAAGGGAAUCCAGUGCUUACAGAUCUUGACAAUCUGGCCAGAAUCUCCAGUAUCCAUCCAAUCUUUUGAUGAAGACUUUUUGUGGGACUCAAUGCACUGCGCCCAAAACCAACUGCCAAGUUAAUAAGCCUCAACAACAAGUUUCUCGCAAAGAUUGUUGGCCUUGCACUGAAAACAGACGGAAGUUUUGUUGUUUCUUUUGAGGAAUGUUGUACAUUUUCUUGGCCUGAUGUGUGAUUUUUCAGACUGUUGUACCUGAAGGCCUUUCAAGGAUUGUUUGUGGGACUCCGCACUGGGUCCUCAACUAACCUCCAUGGUCAUUAGUUUCACUAACAAGAUUUUAAGUGUGGACAGUGAAACAUGACAGUCACCCUUGCUGUCACAAACAGAUAUUUUUUCUGUUAAUGAACAUUUUUCUGUUAUGAUCAAGUGUUUUAAUAGUCACUGAAAUACACUGUCACAAUAUUGUAUCAAGCUGCAGUUGGUAAGCUGAAGUUGUAGUAUGUAAAAUGUUUUAUUAAGAUUUAAAAGGAAAAUCUGACAAUAUUAAACCAUAACUCACAAUGUAUAAAAACACCUACAGUUGCAGCUUCUGCCUUCUAGCACAGCUUUUGUUCUGUUACCAGUGAUGUCAAAUGAUGCCUGAGGCAGACUGUUAGCUGUAAUUUUUGAAAUAGUAAAAUUUGUCCCUUCAAGAUUACUGUUUAUACACAGAAGAGGUGCUGGAAAGGUGUUCUACUACACAUAGGCUGUGGUCAGAAGAUUGUGUCAAUAAUUUUGCAUAACUGCAUUUAAUGGCUUUUAAUAAAUGUUGGAAACCGA